AAGUCGUAACAAGGUUUCCGUAGGUGAACCUGCGGAAGGAUCAUUAAAGAAUCGCCCCGUUUUUGAAAUGGGUUCUAUUCCCAAACCGUGUCAUCAACAUACCUUUGUUGCUUUGGCAGGCCGCCGCGUUCGGCGCUUGGCUGCCGGCUAACUGCGCCUGCCAGAGGACCCAAACUCGUUUAUCUAGUGAUGUCUGAGUACUAUAUAAUAGAUUAAA
rnacentral:misc_RNA from 1 species